CCACCAUCAUUCAUUGCAACCUGGUAAUGCUGGUCGUAUUUUAUCAGAAAUCCCAUCAGGUCCAGAUCCCAUUCAUAACCCCGAUUCCCCUAGUGCACGUGUUUAUGGUUGAUGUGUGGAUGGAAUAGAUGUAUUCAAUAUUUAUAAAAUAAAUUGUGAGAUUCUGUAUACACUUGAUGUACUAGUUCAAUGUUAAUAAUUAAGUGUUAUAAACUCAAGUUAUAGAGUUCAUGAGUUAUCUCUAUUUAGAUUUCUCAAGUAUUAGCCCAUUUA